AUCGCUUCUCGGCCUUUUGGCUAAGAUCAAAGUGUAGUUUCCUGUUCUUAUCAGUUUAAUAUCUGAUACGUCCCCCAUCGGGGACCCGCGUAUUAAACCGAUUUUUGGAAUGGGGAGGCGGGCACGGAGCUCGCUCCGGCCGCUCCACGCAUCGCCCGUAUGGCAGUGCCUCCGGAACGGUGCCUGGUGC
rnacentral:snRNA from 1 species